GAUAGUGUGGCCGAUUGGUUUUAGGCACCAGUCUCUUCGGAGGCAAGGGUUCGAAUCCCUUUACUGUCA
rnacentral:tRNA from 1 species